CAAAGGAACUGGAGGCCAGAUAAGUGUGGCAAGACUGACUUGAAGACAAGAAAACAGGUUAUUUAAGGUUUGGGACCAUGACUUGUUUGACAGUCUUCACAAAUUACAACAUCUCAGGCAGAGUUUUGUUCUAUUUGAAAAUCAUUAUGGACUACAAAUGUGAUCAGGAAGGGGGGAAAAAGUAAAUGGAAAAUAAGAAUCCAGUGUCAUGCUGAUAACGGGGGGUUGAAUAAAGGACCUCUGCAUCUUUUUCAGGGGGCUGUUGUGGGGAGACAUUUGCAGAGGAAGUGACUUCAAGGUGCAUGCUGAAGGAUGAAUCAAAUGAGGAAAUCAUCAGAACAAUGUGUACAAGAUGAAGAGACAGCAAAGAAGUGGUUGCGUUUCCUGCUUAAAAUGUCAGCUGGAUUGUCUCAGCACCCUGCCUCCCCC
rnacentral:lncRNA from 1 species